GGCAAGUCUGGUGCCAGCAGCCGCGGAAAUUCCAGCUCCAAUAGCGUAUAUUAAAGUUGUUGCAGUUAAAAAGCUCGUAGUUGAACUUCGGGAUCAAUGGAUCGGUCAUGCCAAUGGUAUGUACUGGUCAUAUUGGUUCUCACCUUCUAAGGAACCAUGAUGUCAUUCAUUUGAUGUCUUGGGGAAUUAGGACUGUUACCUUGAAAAAAUUAGAGUGUUUAAAGCAGGC
rnacentral:rRNA from 1 species